rnacentral:rRNA from 1 species
AGCGAACGCUGGCGGCAGGCCUAACACAUGCAAGUCGAACGGACCCUUCGGGGUUAGUGGCGGACGGGUGAGUAACACGUGGGAACGUGCCUUUAGGUUCGGAAUAGCUCCUGGAAACGGGUGGUAAUGCCGAAUGUGCCCUUCGGGGGAAAGAUUUAUCGCCUUUAGAGCGGCCCGCGUCUGAUUAGCUAGUUGGUGAGGUAACGGCUCACCAAGGCGACGAUCAGUAGCUGGUCUGAGAGGAUGACCAGCCAGACUGGGACUGAGACACGGCCCAGACUCCUACGGGAGGCAGCAGUGGGGAAUCUUGCGCAAUGGGCGAAAGCCUGACGCAGCCAUGCCGCGUGAAUGAUGAAGGUCUUAGGAUUGUAAAAUUCUUUCACCGGGGACGAUAAUGACGGUACCCGGAGAAGAAGCCCCGGCUAACUUCGUG